rnacentral:rRNA from 1 species
UAGGGAAUCUUCGGCAAUGGACGAAAGUCUGACCGAGCAACGCCGCGUGAGUGAAGAAGGUGUUCGGAUCGUAAAACUCUGUUGUUAGAGAAGAACAAGGACGUUAGUAACUGAACGUCCCCUGACGGUAUCUAACCAGAAAGCCACGGCUAACUACGUGCCAGCAGCCGCGGUAAUACGUAGGUGGCAAGCGUUGUCCGGAUUUAUUGGGCGUAAAGCGAGCGCAGGCGGUUUCUUAAGUCUGAUGUGAAAGCCCCCGGCUCAACCGGGGAGGGUCAGUGGAAACUGGGAGAGUGGAGUGCAGAAGAGGAGAGUGGAAUUCCAUGUGUAGCGGUGAAAUGAGUAGAUAUAUGGAGGAACACCAGUGGCGAAGGCGGCUCUCUGGUCUGUAACUGACGCUGAGGCUAGAAAGCGUGGGGAGCAAACAGG